UACAGAGGUGGCAAGCGUUGUUCGGAAUUACUGGGCGUAAAGGGCGCGUAGGCGGCCUACUAAGUCAGACGUGAAAUCCCCCGGCUUAACCUGGGAACUGCGUCUGAUACUGGAAGGCUUGAGGAUGGGAGAGGGAUGUAGAAUUCCACGUGUAGCAGUGAAAUGCGUAGAUAUGUGGAGGAACACCGAUGGCGAAGGCAGCCCCCUGGGCCAAUACUGACGCUCAUGCACGAAAGCGUAGGGAGCGAACAGG
rnacentral:rRNA from 1 species